CGUAACAAGGUUUCCGUAGGUGAACCUGCGGAAGGAUCAUUAC
rnacentral:rRNA from 6 species